ensembl:lncRNA
UGCUGAGAGAACGCCCUCUUACUACUGACUCCCAACGCAGAGCGGAGUUGCCGAUCUCAUGUCCAAGCUACGGCUCUAAUAGUAUUUAAAGCAUUUUGUUUUUUCAAACAAAAUUUAACAGACUGUUACCCAGCAACAAGAGCAACCCUUGUGAUUUCUCAAGCCCGAUGUAGAAGAUUAGUCUAAAGCAGGGUUCUUCUGUAGGCUGCAGUUUGUUCACGGUCCUCUAGCAGGAGGAGGCCGCUCAUCAAGGUACCUUAGAACAGGAAUGCAGCAGCAAGAACCACAGGCCUGCGAGGCAGUAGAGGAGAAACGUUCUGGCAAGAAUGAGAUAACGGGGGUUCAUGCUGAUCUGUGCUGAACAAAUCCAUGAAGCUUGCCCUCCCACUCCACGUCCCAUAGAAUCAUAGAGGAACAUGCCCGUGGAGAUGUUCUUGUCCAUUUCUCCCCAUACAUUUGGUCUAUGCAUGAUUGUGGUUUUCCAUCUCGAUCUCAGGGACUGAGUGUCUCCUGCUGCAGGUAGGAAGCCGGUGCCUAGUCUGCCAUUGGAGAGGGAACAAAUCAUGUUCUUUAAAGGGCUUGGCCAUACGAACGCUUAUUUCUCCGCAAGCUGCGGUGUAAAUCUACCCUGCUGGGCACUAAAUGUCUAUGUGGACCUUGCUGUUGCCUGCUAAAAAUUCCCUACUGUGCUUUAAUCUACUCCAAGUGGGGGUAGAUCUAAGCUCCGUAGGAAAGUUUUAGUGCAUGGUAGAUUUACAUCCCAGCUUGCCAUAAGCUAAGUGUUUGUGUGGACAAGCUGUAUGUUUUCUCAAACACGGUAGGUGAUAAAAUGCCUUGCAUUAACACUUCUGCUGUAAAACCUUUGCAGAGUUUAGAGGGAAGAGGCAUUUAGGGAAAGUAAUGCAUGAAAACAGCAACUGAGUUGAGACUGGGCAGAGCCCUUGUCUUCCACCUCUGUCCAUCCUUUUUUAAAAGCAACCUGUACCACCCAUGUCCCUCUCUGCCAGAAUUGGGACCAAUUUUGCUUUCUCCCCCUGAACUGAGAUUCCUGAAAUAAUUAAAGCCAGAGCUAUAUGACUGGUACUGGAGCAGAUAAUGGCAUUAACAGGAUGGGCUUGUCCCUGUUACUUUCAGAGCUGUAUUAUUUUCCAAACACUUGUUUUUAGUUUAAUACAUGGGCCAUGUUACAAAUCAUGCUUGUUGGUUAAGAAGUCCUGUUCCGGGGAGUAGGGGGAAACAUGUGAACUCUGGCUUGAAUUGAUCCAGAGAGUUACACCACUGGACUCUAGCUGCGCACUUUCCCAGAGUUCCUUGCUGUUAAGAUCUUUGCUUAGGCUCUAGUUUGAAUAGCGUAGGGACAGUCGCUCUAUUUUGCAUGUAGCACUGAGGGGAUGCUGUUAUCGUGCAUACCUCAUGGCUAUUUUGCUAUUAAACCCCUUGAUUUAAAAACUGAUUCAGUGCUAGGCACAUGUUUCACAUUAGUACAGCUGGGCUAAGCCAAGGGUUAGCCAUACAAAUACUACUUUGCAACUGCGUCAGUAAUAGGUGCAUUAAGACUUUUUAGGUCUGCGAUUCACUAGCAGCUAUCCAGUUGGGCAGGCUACUCCCCGGUGAGGUUCCCUGAAUGGAUCCAGCGAGCAUCUCCUCUUCCCUGGCGUGGGUCUCAUGUUAGUAACAAGUGCGUGGCAGCAGCAGGAAUCUUAUCGACUGCUCAGAGGGAAAGAGAGCUGAUCACAAUGUUAAGAAUCCAUUUUGCCUCUGGUGGCCUUAGCUGCUUGCCAUGUGCACAGUGAACACGCCUGACUGUAUGUUCCUGUACAGCCUGGGUAACAUAUACGCACCUGUUCUGAGGCGCAAAACUGCUCUAAAUUGCAAAUGCUACCGCAGUCUUCUUAGUAGGUUCUUACGACGUGUCCACUGAGCUCUCAUAUCCAACUUUCCACGUCCUGAUUGGACAGGACCGUCUAACUUCAGUUCUAAUUUAGAAUGUUCCUUCAACAGCAAGCUGUUACGGUUGACAAUUCCACAGCCGGAAUUGUGAAACUGUAGAUGAUUGACAGUACAGACGUUAAUUGUCUGAGGUGUCCAGUCAGUUAAAUGUUAACCUCUACUGUGCCUUGGCUAGUAUUUAGCUUUCAGGUCAAUAAUUGUCACUGCCACUGAAGUCAAUAUCCACUUAUUGCAAAUGCUGAAUCAUGAGACAGAUAAGCUGUUGCCAUAACUUAGUUACACAGACUUGGAUGCAUUUUAAAAGGUAACUCUUGAAGCAAAGGUUUGUUAAUGACUGAUUCUACUAGCACUUUUUGGUUCUAACUGUGUAAGCUUGAAGGAGUCCACUGUGUUAGAUGAAGUAUUUGAUUCAAAGAAACACAUUUCAAAUACUUAUUUACCUUUUAUCGCUAUGUAACAAAAGUAAUAUUAGACAAGAUUCAUGUGUACCAGUAGGCACAAUAGCAACAAGGUUUUGCAUAUUAAAAUAAAUCAGUAAUUUAUCCAGUAAAUUCA